rnacentral:lncRNA from 1 species
CAUUAAGUAGCGUGACAAAAUAAAAGUUGAUUCAUGUAGAUAUUAGUACUGAGAUUCUCCAAAUGCCAUGUCUCGGUCAUGAAACAUAUUCUUUAUCAGAUUUGAAGUACCACAAUGGGCUAACAAUCACUGUCAAUGUAAGGUACUGCAUGCCUUUCUUCUGCUUCAUAUGAACUGAAUUUCUCUAUUAAUUUGAUGCAUCAGUUUUCUCUUCACUUUGUCACAGUAGACAAUUGCCCCGUUUUGAUUUUAAAACUCCGCUGCACAAGUUAAUAUAAUGAAAAUGUAAGUGCCAAAGAUAAUGAAAAUGUUUGCUUCCUAUAAACUUAUAAACAUAGGAGUGACAACUUAAACAUGUGGUGCCCUAAGUGUAUUCUAUCUGUAGGCUUGCAAAGAUAGAAUGGCUUGCAUGAGAAUAUCAAUGCCAAAAUCAUCUGCGACUCAGAAAAAUGACAGAUCAUAGAUAAAGUAAGGUGGCUUGGUGCAAAGCUAUAUACAUUCACGCAUUUCGUUGUUAUAAUUAUGGGCAAACUAUUAACAAAAGAACAUAGUAAGGUGUAGCGGAUGCCGAUGCGUCUGAAGCUCAUACCAAGUAGGCAACUUCCCAUGCAGAGUAUAUGUCCUGGCAAGAAGAGAAAAGGAGGUGGAGCACCACAAUACAUAAUUUAUUAGACUAAAGAGCACUACAAUAUCCCAAUAAUUUGAAGGAGCAAUUGUAUGCCUGACCAUGAUCUCAACAUAUGUGACUUUGAUACAUGUAUUUCUUUGAUCAUAUCAUUUGAAUAAUCACGAUCUUGAAUUAUGAUGGUUUAGUUUGAUUAUAAUUAAAGAAAAUCAACCAGCUAUGCAAGCAUGAUAGUUAUCAAUAGAGCCACAUCACACCAGUUCUAAAUUUCAUGAUAGGUGCUUACUAUAUUUUCUAAGAUUGCCAUGCAUCUUGUUAGAAUCAAGAAAUACAUGUAUAUGCCAGCAGCUAGUGCUCCCAAGGGAACAGAAUUAUGCUUGUGCAGCGCCAUGAAUAUUGAAUAUAUAUGAUGGAUUUACUUUGGUUUUUCAGCUGUCAUGGUCAAAGUUCUAAAUCAGACUUAUAUUCUACGAAAAUAUUUACUUGACGUGAUCCAGUGUGUUGUUACAAAUACAAAUAUAUAUUUUUAAUCAAUCAUUUGUACAUCUCUAACCUCUACGCUCUAGCCAUGAUUACAUUGUAAUUAUUAAGUUCUUAACUUUCUCUGCAUUUAUAAUUAGAACACAACACACUACCUUGAUAUAUCCCCUUAUUGAAAAAGAUCCUAAAAAACAUCAGGCACAUAAGCCUAAAACAAAACAGUGGUGAUUACCUUGGAAAAAGAUCACUUUGACCCCUAUAUUUCUACAUUAAUCAAUGAACGAAAUUCUACUCUAGAUGGCCACAUCUUGCGCGUUCAUAUUUUUUUAUAAGGUGUGUUGAGCGGGUAACCGACUUUUAGUUCUAUUAGGUACUAUAAGCAUUGGUCGAUGCAACAUCAAUGAGAAAAAAUGGUUCCUUAAAUAGAUAAGCUUUUUGGAAAAUUCACAUGGAGAAAGCAAGGAAUCUCAUCAUACUGCCGAGGUAAAGCAUCUGACAACCCAAAAGGGCAACAUAAUAAUCAUGAAGGAGAAAUGCCAAAUGAGACCAUAGAAAAAGGAACGCGGAAAGAGAAACCAAUCAACUUAAGAGGAGAGCCAGGUCUCGCCUUGGCGUACAUUGCCCGGUCCAUCCCGUUGGUCUAGAGCGUCGAUCCCAAAACUAUUCCAAAUCCAGAACAACAAAGUGUGUAAUAUAGCCAGAAUGUUAGAACAAUAUCUAAAUCGUGGCGAUGUAACGACCUGCUCAACACUGACUGCUGAAACUUUCAGUAAAAUCAGAGUGCUGAACAGUAUCUAAAUCGACAGGCAAACCUUGGACUAGGCAUGGAAGUGCAGUCCUAUUGAUCUUUCCCUGCUCCUCUUUGAUUUCAGCAACUUCCUGUAAACUUGAUGUUUCAUAUUGUGCUCCUCCACCUCCAAUAUACAUGAACCUGAAUUACAUAAUACAAAGAAACAAAAUCAUAGUUAGGCCAUCCAGAGAGUGAAACAGAUAAGUGUGCAGCAAUAAUCUUGAAAAAACAACAAAAUUGCACAGCUAGAAGAACCAGACUAUUCAAUAACUUAAAAUGUGUUACAUAUAUGUCUUCACCUUCUUCCCGAGAUACUCUGCAUCCAUGCAUUGAAGUGGAAAUUGAACUAUCUGC